AAAUUGAAGAGUUUGAUCAUGGCUCAGAUUGAACGCUGGCGGCAGGCCUAACACAUGCAAGUCGAGCGGUAGCACAGAGAGCUUGCUCUCGGGUGACGAGCGGCGGACGGGUGAGUAAUGUCUGGGAAACUGCCUGAUGGAGGGGGAUAACUACUGGAA
rnacentral:rRNA from 7 species